UUUCUUGGCUCCACUCUGGUGAUCCUCUGGCUGUGAAAUGGGCAGUUUGCAUGACAUGAGAAGUCUUGAGCAGCUGUCUGUCUAACUGAAUGGAAAUCGGCACUGGAACUGUAGCCAGUGAUGUGCUUACAUGAGCUUCAGGCGAAUGGACGGCUUCCGAAGUCGGGGAGUCAGAUGACAUCUGUGAGUGUGGUGAAUCGUCAUCAGAGCCAGCAAAGUGGUCGAAAUCAGGCCGCUUCAGCCGCAUUACUGACUUGGGCUGUAACAUGAUCAUGAAAUUGCGGUAAAAGAAAGAUGGCUAACUGAUGCUGCAUUGCUGCAGAUUACUACUGAUUUGUAAGAAGGUUCUUACGGAACGCCUCAACACUGUACGCACUCGGAGGCCUUUCCUCCAGUUCCGUUCAUCGUUUAGCUUCUCAACCUGACAUGGAGAACAAAUUGAAGGUACAGUGUCACACCCAUCAGUCAACUAAUUGCAAGAGCCAGUGUGAUAUCUGAAUUCCUGAGAAAAUAGCUUGCACCGAGGCAGUUAAUACUCACUGCUUUCUCUGCCUGCUGCGAGGUCUCAUAUUCCACAAGAGCAUGCAUCUUUGACAACACCAUGAAGUAAAAGAGUUAUAAUAUAAUUUUGCUGUCACAAAAUUUGUUUACUGUUCUGAAUUUGAUCUAAGCAGACAAUGAACUUCUCAAUUAGCAGAAAUAGAGUUGAGCAGGUGAAAUAUAUACCUUGUUACUCACUAGUGUGUCUGACUUGGAAGCCCUCGCCGAGCUAGGCUCUUGAGGGUGGCAAAUCUUGAUGUUCUUCACACUGGAAUUGCCUUGUCUGACCUUCCGACGACGCCGAAGACCUUCUCGAGGCUGUUUCUUGAGGAGUCCUCUGGCAAAUUCUCCGCGAUGAUCAUUCGAGACUGCGUAAUGAAAACAAGAUUCAGUUCUGGGUAGGCAGAGAAAUCCUGGAGCACUGUAAAUCAGUGACCUGAAGCUCUUCUUUGUGCUUCUCUGUGAAGGGCUGCCUGCGCCGGACUUUCUUGCCAUCGUCGCUGACAAUCUGCAGCCAUAGUUUUAUGAUCCCAUUUGAAGAAUGUUUUCCAUGUACUUUGUGGAUGUUAAUUUAGUUACAAUUGUUAUACUACAGUUGUAAUUGGCUAUAUAUUUAGGUUAAAUUUCAUUACCAGUUUUGUGGAGGUCCGAAGAGCCUUAACCAGCAUCUGGUUGGUUGCUCCCAGGGACUUGAUCUUCUUCCAGGAUGAAAUGACCGACAAGGGAACUGUAAAGAAAAUAACAUAUCUAACCUGUCUGAAUAUAUGAGAGUGAAAUGUUUUGUGCUUUGCU